AGAUUGAACGCUGGCGGCAGGCCUAACACAUGCAAGUCGAGCGGUAGAGAGGUGCUUGCACCUCUUGAGAGCGGCGGACGGGUGAGUAAAGCCUAGGAAUCUGCCUGGUAGUGGGGGAUAACGCUCGGAAACGGACGCUAAUACCGCAUACGUCCUACGGGAGAAAGCAGGGGACCUUCGGGCCUUGCGCUAUCAGAUGAGCCUAGGUCGGAUUAGCUAGUUGGUGAGGUAAUGGCUCACCAAGGCGACGAUCCGUAACUGGUCUGAGAGGAUGAUCAGUCACACUGGAACUGAGACACGGUCCAGACUCCUACGGGAGGCAGCAGUGGGGAAUAGUUGGACAAGUGGGCGAAAGCCUGAUCCAGCCAUGCCGCGUGUGUGAAGAAGGUCUUCGGAUUGUAAAGCACUUUAAGUUGGAGGAAGGCAGUUAACCUAAUUACGUUAGUGUUUUGACGUUACGACAGAAUAAGCACCGGCUAACUCUGUGCCAGCACG
rnacentral:rRNA from 1 species